CGGGGGAAAGAUUUAUCGCCGAAAGAUCGGCCCGCGUCUGAUUAGCUAGUUGGUGAGGUAAAGGCUCACCAAGGCGACGAUCAGUAGCUGGUCUGAGAGGAUGAUCAGCCACAUUGGGGACUGAGACACGGCCCCAAACUCCUACGGGGAGGCAGCAGUGGGGAAUAUUGGGACGAAUGGGGCGCAAAGCCUGGAUCCAAGCCCAUGCCGCGUGAGUGAUGAAAGGCCCUUAGGGUUGUAAAAGCUCUUUUGUCCGGGAAAGAUAAAUGACUGUACCGGAAAGAAAUAAGCCCCGGCUAACUUCGUGCCAAGCAGCCGCGGUAAUACGAAGGGGGCUAGCGUUGCUUCGGAAUCACUGGGCGUAAAGGGCGCGUAGGCGGACUUUUAAGUCGGAGGUGAAAGCCCAGGGCUCAACCCUGGAAUUGCCUUCGAUACUGGGAGUCUUGAGUUCGGAAGAGGUUGGUGGAACUGCGAGUGUAGAGGUGAAAUUCGUAGAUAUUCGCAAGAACACCGGUGGCGAAGGCGGCCAACUGGUCCGAAACUGACGCUGAGGCGCGAAAGCGUGGGGAGCA
rnacentral:rRNA from 1 species